rnacentral:tRNA from 1 species
GCCUAAACUUGCUCUCUCAAAUGUAUACUAUUUUUUCUUAUUUUUUAAAUUUUAUUCUAAUUUGUAUAGGCUAAUUUUUAAUAGAUAUUUUUGGGAAACAGUUACUGAGAGAACUCUGAAUUUUUUUUUUGGUGGGGGCGGGGGGGUUGCUGGAGAUGGAAUCCAGGGUCUAAUACAUGCCAGGCAGCUUCUCUACCACUGAGCCACAUCCCCAGCCCCUCUGAAUUGUUUUUUGCAAAGUUGCUAUUGGUAGCACAAGACUCUGCAUCUGCUUAUAUUUCAAACCAUGUAUCCAUUUUUGGAAGUGAUUUUUUUUUAAAAUUAUCCAUUUAGCAAUGUACAGUUGAGUCAGAAUAGUCAGCACAACAGAUCAUGCUUACUGUAUUUACUGAGCCUCUGAAGGUUGAUUGUGACCGUAAGUACAUAAUGUAGCAGCAGCCUGGGAAGCAGGGGCAGGGGCAAAUGGGCAUACCUGAAAGAAUAGACAAGUGGAAAUGAAGCCAGGUGUGGUGGCACAUGCUUGAAAUCCCAGCUGCUUAAGUGACUGAGGCAAGAAGGUCUCAUGUUUCAGGGCAGCCUCCACAAUUUAGUAAGCCCCUGUCUCAAAAUAAUAAAUACCUAAGUGAAUCCCACCAUCGUGGGAUCCUAAUUAGAAUAAUCUAUAUUCCACACUUGUAUAAUUUUAUUAAAUGGAUUCUAUUAUCAUGUAUAAAUAAGAAGACCCCCUCCCUUUCCACACAUAUAGAAGAAGAAGAAGAAGAAGAAGAAGAGGAGGA